rnacentral:rRNA from 1 species
UAGAGCAAAUCUCAAAAAAACAAUCUCAGUUCAGACUGCAGGCUGCAACUCGCCUGCACGAAGUCGGAAUUGCUAGUAAUCGUAGGUCAGCAUACUACGGUGAAUACGUUCCCGGGCCUUGUACACACCGCCCGUCAAACCAUGAGAGUUGGCAACACCCGAAGUCGGUAGUCUAACCGCAAGGAGGACGCCGCCGAAGGUGGGGUUGAUGACUAGGGUUAAGUCGUAACAAGGUACC